rnacentral:rRNA from 1 species
GUCGUAACAAGGUUUCCGUAGGUGAACCUGCGGAAGGAUCAUUGACACAAAACAAUCUAAAAAACCAGAGAAACCCAACCCUCUCCUGCCGGCUUGCCGGCAGCGAGGUCCGCGUAGGGCCUCAACAUCCGCCCGGCGUCGGGCGGGGCUUGCCUCGUGCUCGCUCCGCUCGGCGUCGGGCACCACUUUCACGCCCAAACCCAAUCAACCGAACUCCGGCGUUGCGCUUGCGCACGCUAAACACUAAUAUCCACGCCUCUUAACGGUGGAUCUCUUGGUUCCGGCGACGAUGAAGAACGCAGCGAAAUGCGAUACGUAAUGUGAAUUGCAGGAUUAAGUGAAUCAUCAAAUCUUUGAACGCAAAUGGCAGUUGGGUGCUUUCAGCACCGGACUAUGCCUGGUUCAGACCCGCUUACAAACACAUCACACACAUCCAAUGUGUCGCGGACAAUGACGGUGACUCAGCAGGCUGAUCGUCUCCGUUCAAGUGUAAGCCAACCGUUCCGGUUCACCGCCCUCGGGCGGGGAGCUUCUGGGGCGUGACUUAGGUGAUACCAUCUUUGUUCACACUACCUCUGGGAGUUCCUUCUGGGAUUUAGCAUCUCGCUAAAACAAGGGCUGAGCUCAGGUAAGAGGACCCGCUGAAUUUAAACAUAUUAUUAAGCGGAGGAAAAGAAACUAACAAGGAUCCCCUCAGUAACGGCGAGUGAAGCGGGGAUAGCUCAAUCCUAAAAUCCCCGGGUCUAACCUGUGGGAAUUGUGGUCUAGAGGAGCUUGUCCGGCCACGCUCUUGGAGUAACUCGUUGUUGAGACAGCGGGCCAUAGAGGGUAAUAGCCCCGUAUAUGUCCAGGGAAUGCGUACGGCCAUCAGGAACUGCUUCCAGAGAGUCGUGUUGCUCGGGACUGCAGCACAAAACGGGAGGUAAUAUCCUUCUAAAGCUAAAUAUUCGCUGGAGACCGAUAGCGAACAAGUACCGUGAGGGAAAGAUGAAAAGAACUUUGAAAAGAAAGUGAAAAGUACGUGAAACCGUUAAGGGUGAAGCGAGAUGCUCCUACUGUGCCUAUGGUGGUUUCUGCUGGUAUUCAACCGGUAGUUCAACGACCGUUGGCCGCCUUGAUGGCUUCAGCCUGGGUCAGAACAGCCUGCGGGAGGGGAGCACUCCUCUUGUGGAGUGUGAAUGCCGCGGCCUACGGCCUGGGUUGGAGUGAGGAAACGGUGCGAACCUGCGGCCGGUUCCGCUGCGUGGCUGGUGGGGGUUGAUCGCCUGCGAUGUUCCUCUGCCGAAGCGUAGCGUGCCUGUUGCUUCACGUGCCCAAGAUCAAGGUAAUGGAGUGUCCCGACCCGUCUUGAAACACGGACCAAGGAGUCUAACAUGUGUGCGAGUAUUAGGGUGGCAAACCCCGAUGCGCAGAGAAAUCAAGAGGACCCAACCGUAAGGUGCCGGUCCGGCUGCACUUGAUCUUUUGUGAAAAGUCUAGCAAGAGCAUAUAUGCUGGGACCCGAAAGAUGGUGAACUAUGCGUGA